AGGUCAGGCGGGGCCACCCGCUGAGUUUAAGCAUAUCAAUAAGCGGAGGAAAAGAAACUAACGAGGAUUCCCCUAGUAACGGCGAGC
rnacentral:rRNA from 1 species